UGCAGGGACCAUGGUCUCCAUUUCGUCCACAUGCAGACAGGAGAGUGUAUAUGUGUGUGUGUGUGUGUGUGUUGGGGGGUGGGAUCAGAACCAUUGGAUCCACGGUUCCACAUUAUGUGCAAAUGUGGCCUCUGACAUAUGUGAAUGUGACCUCUAUCUGCUCCAAAGGAUACCCUGACACUCACCAUCAGCUUUGGAGGGAGGCCUAAGCAGCUGCAGAUAACAGAAUGGCAGGAAAUUGUGGUUGAAGACUGACCCCUGACAACUGCACUGCGGUGCUGGCAUUUCAGCAUCCGUUUGCCUUCACUGCAUGCAUGUUAGGAGAGAGAAGCAUUAUGUGGCUCAGAUUCAAAGAAGUGCAAGUGGAGAUCUAUCUGGGCAGCAGGGCUUCGAGCUACAAACCCACACAAUGUAGAGCUGGACUGUAUGUAGCAAAGGGCCAUUAUCUUUAUAAUGAGUGUUUGAAAUUCAGAUACAAACUAUGGGGCUUGUACUCAUCCCUAGUUAUAAUUAUAUAAUGGACUAAUUUGUAAUUUGCGUUCUGCCUUUUGAUAAAAAAUUUAAUUAAAGCGUGUUUGAUUGAAUCAGC